rnacentral:lncRNA from 1 species
ACGCGGCGAAACGAAUAUCCCACAUCAGAAAAAUGGGGAUCAUCCCUCCGAAGGACGGGGGGAAUACAGCAAGACGCCAAAAGAGAAGGAGACCCGCGGGCACGGAGAACGGCGGAGAAUGAACUGCGCACGUGGGCUUAAAUAGGACGCUGAGCAGCUCCUGAUGCAAAACAGCUGCGACCACUCAACUCAUCACCUGCCUGCCUUAAGGAGAUCCUGGACCAACAUUCAACGCCAGUUCGUGUCCACUGAUGGAAUCCAUUACCAUGAGUGGUCGUCUGAGUCUGCUCCAUUUCCGGAUCCCAGCCUAGUCAUUAUCUCCUGUUAAGUCAAGAACCUCUGCUGAUCCUCCUGUCAAGCCACGAGCCACGGUCGAAACCACCAGUGACUUCACGAGCCGCAGCAAUCCUCCAUCUUCGUAGUGGUUUCUUGUCGGAGUCAUCUGCUUCGCCUACUAUCUACUGAAUCACGAUCUGAAUAUUAAAUUCUUUUCUACUCGCCUCAGAACUCACCUGUGUCUCCUUCGGGUUCCAGCGUUUGGGUCUGUUUAUUUCCUCUAGUCAUGACAACGAGGAGUAUAUUUGUAUAAACUACUUUUGUAUUGGAAGCUAAACUUUAUUUUUUGCCAUAUUUGUUUGCGUUUCUUUCUGGACCUGAUGGAAGAGUGAAGUUUAUGUGUGUGUGUGUGUAUGUGUAGGUGGGGGCGCAUGGGCUGGAUAAUGAAUAAACAAACCAAAGAGGAAAACAAUAGAGAAUAUUAUCACAUGUUUGUGCAGUUUCAAUAUAUAGUGUUAUAUAAGAAACAUUGACAUUCUUUAAAAAAUUUGGUUAUAAAAACAC